rnacentral:sRNA from 1 species
CAAGAAAAAUCAGAGUAAAAAUCAGUUACUCUUUCUAGACAUUAAUUAGCACAUUUACGUUAAGACUCUUAAGUAGUAUAAAAUGUAAAUUGCUGCUACCCUACUAAGUUACUGUUAGUAAAUACUGUGUCCAGUAAAUGUUGAGUAUGGAUUAAUUGAAGGAUACCUCUACAAUUAUUUCCUUUAGUCAAGUUAGCUAAGAAUUGGGCUUCUGACAGACAUUGUUUUUAUUUUUUUUGUAUUGGGUUUUAUAGCUCUAAACCUAAUUUCUAACAUAUUUGUACACCUGAAAUCUACAUUCUAAUAUAAAGGUUUUUUAAAUAAUUUUCUUAAAAAUUUCAGGCCAUCAGCAAGCAGUUUAUUGUCCCAUGUUUUCUUCAAACAGAUGAAAGAAGAAAGCCAGGAUUCAAUACUUUCACUGUUGCCUCCUGCUUAUAACAAGCCAUCAAUAUCAUUGCCUCCAGUGUUACCUUGGACUGAGCCAGAAUGUGAUUUUCCUGAUGAAAAAGACUCAUACUGGGAAUUCUAGGGCUGCCAAAUCAUUUUAUGUCCUAUAUACUUGACACUUUCUCCUUGCUGCUUUUUCUUCUGUAUUUCUAGGUACAAAUACCAGAAUUAUACUUGAAAAUACAGUUGGUGCACUGGAGAAUCUAUUAUUUAAAACCACUCUGUUCAAAGGGGCACCAGUUUGUAGUCCCUCUG